rnacentral:rRNA from 1 species
UACGUAGGGGCAAGCGUUGUCCGGAUUUAUUGGGCGUAAAGAGCGUGUAGGCGGCUUACAGGUCCGUUGUGAAACUCGAGGCUCAACCUCGAGACGCCGGUGGAAACCGUAAGCUAGAGUCGGAAGAGGAGAGUGGAAUUCCCGGUGUAGCAGUGAAAUGACGUAGAUAUCGGGAGGAAUACCGAUGGCGAAGGCAGGUCUCUGGCUGACACUGACGCUCAUGCACGAAAGCGUGGGGAGCAAACAGG